AUACGUAGGUCCCAAGCGUUGCGCGAUCUCACUGAGCGUAAAGCGUCCCCAGCCGGUCCGGUAAGCGGAUUGUCAAAACCCGCGGCUCAACCGCGGUAGGGCAACCCGAACUGUCGGACUUGAGGCAAGCCCAGGCAGGCGGAAUUCCCGGUGUGGCGGUGAAAUGCGUAGAUAUCGGGAGGAACACCAAAGGGGAAGCCAGCCUGCUGGGGCUGCCCUGACGGUCACGGACGAAAGCUGGGGGAGCAAACCGGAUUAGAAACCCUAGUAGUCC
rnacentral:rRNA from 1 species